UGCCUCUUUUGAGCUGCAUUCACGUGGCCAAAUUCCACAUUCUGAGGGUUUUUAUUCCACUAGGAAGGAGAAAAUCAUGACCUGGAUUCCUGGCUUGUGUGAUGGAUCUCUCCCAAAAACCCUGCAUCAGUGCUUUUCAGAUUUUCUGCCCUGAAGAUAGAAGAUAGGAAUAAAAAGCCAUCUCAGCAACACCGAGGAUACUAUACAGACUGCUGAAUUUU